CUUUUUUUUUAUCAAGAUUGUUAUAACAUAAGCAGUUGAAUAAAAUGGCUUCCAAGGCUUUGUUUCUGUUGGGUUUCUUUACUCUUUUCCUCCUUGUCUCAGAAGUAGUCGGAGCAUCUGAAAGCCAGUCGGGCACUGUUAAAUUGGGGAGUGAGGAAACAAUCCAAAGUGGUGAUGGUGGCCGUGGAGGCUACAACGGAGAACGAAAUGGGGUAGACAAGGAAGGACCAAUUAAUGUGGGAUACAACAGAAAGGGACAAUGGGGAUACAGAUACUCGGGUUGCCACCACGGCUGCUGCUUACAAAUUAUUGGCUGCUAUAAAUGCUGUCCGUAAGUCGGAAAGCUGUUUAGAUUCAGUCUGGUCACUAAAACUAUAUAAUGCAUAAUGGUCUGUUGAGUUGUAACCUUUUCUACUUGAACAAUAAAAUGUUAGAGAUUCUAAUGCGGAAGCGGGUUAAACCGAAGACAUACCUUUAGCCCGGUUUAGCGGUGAACACUACUUGAUACAAUCUGGCAAGUCGGGGAUGAAAUCCCAGAUGGAAAUCAACCACUUGUCACCGUUCAAGUGCAUUUCUAGUUGAUUCUUAUAGCUUUCUCUUUCUAAAACGUUUCUCUCUCUCUCUAAUAUUAUCUUGUUAUUACUUCUAUAUCGACCUCUUCUCUUUGCAAUGCAUGUGUCUUAUUUAUAGACAAUCAAAGGAUAUAUAUGUGAAGAGUCACAUAUCUUCAAGGAAGAGACACAUAUCUUCAAUGAACAAACACAUACAUUCAUGAAGAGUUGCAUAGGUUCAUUUAUGGAGUUUAACCAACAACUACCAGUUAACUAAACCGGUUCGGUAUGCUGCCUAAUCAUGGGCGCAAACCAACCAUAAACCAAUAUCUCCCACUCGCACAUGAUGGCGAGCAUGUCAAUUACUAGAGAAGUCUUAGAGAUCAAACUUGAGAAUCCUAACUCAGAAAUCAUACGGCAAAUGAACCUUGCGAACCUUGCGAGUACACCUGCACUUGGGAUCAAACUUGGGAACAUAAUGGUCUGUAGAGUUGUAACCUUUUCUACUUGAAUAAUAAAAUCAUUUCUAGUUAAAAAAAAAAAAUCAUUUCUAGUUUUAUGAUUUUUUCUUGCGGUAUUGGAUACGAAAACAAAAACAAUUAUGACACAUGUUCAGACGGCUGUACCGUCAGAUUAAUAUUCCCCUCAAGAAAUAAAGAGAACUUCAAGAAUCGGUUAAUUAAGUGACAUAGACGCUGGUUAUCUUGCACAUAGAAUAUAGACAUCCAUUGGCAAUUGAGUUAUGGAGUGACAUCUUACAGGAAGCUCUAUACGUCUACCUUCAUUGUGUUUCUGCCAGGUUUGUUUUAUAGAGCCACUUAAUCUUCAAAGAUGAAGAAUUACAGAAAAUCAUGUUUAUGGGUUUUGAUACUAUUGAUGGGUUUUAAAGUUACAUUGGUCUGAAUGUUUUAGGGGAAAUCUUGUUGGAGUAUUCAAGGGGAUAUAUGGAACUAGGGGAACUAAUCAUUGAGAUUUUAUUAUAAGCUUUAGGGUUGAAUCCUAACCAUCUGAAAGAAAUGGAAUGCGCAAAGGGUUCAUCGAUGCUCUCUCGUUACUUCCCGCCUUGUCCUGAGCCUGAUCUAACUUAUGGCACAAGUCCCCAUUCAGACAGAUCUUUUCUCACUAUUCUUCUCCAAGAUCACAUUGGUGGCCUUCAAGUUCAUCAGAAUGGUUAAUGGGUGGAAGUUCCUCCGGUUCCUGGAGCUCUUCUUGUCAACCUCGGAGAUAUUUUACAGGUAAUAUAAGUUUAUUAUAGAUAGUCAUUAAUCCGUAUUGAUCAGGCGAAGCAACGAGUGACCGAAAGUGCUUGGAAACAAGGGAGAGCUUUGGAUAGUCGAAUCUUGAUGAACGCGCUAAGAUAUCAAUGAUGACAUCUUCAGGAAGUGAGGGAAUCAGAGACGGUGCUUUUUAGGAUUUCUCAUCCUCUGCCUUUAUUUUUGAAACCAUGUUAAAGAUCGACAAUCACACAGAGAACAAAAACAAAAAGAUAAAGCUCAAAUCAGCAAUCACCGCCGUGCAAGAGAGAAAAGCAACCUAGGGGCUAGGGUUCGUUGAUGUGAGGCUUUCCAAUAAGAAAACAAUCUUAUAUAAUAUAACCCUUUUUAAUAAUGUAAAUUUUGUAUUUACUUUUGUAAAAAAAAGUAAAUUUUGUAUUUGUAUUCACUAAAAUACUAGGUGAUUUUUCCAUACUCAUGCACCGAUAUAAAUAUUUAUAAAAUAAAUACUAUAAUAAUUGAUUAUUAUUUAUUUUUAAUUUUAAAUUAAUUUAUAAUUUUUAUGUAUAAUUUAUAUUAAUAAUAUUAUAUUACUUUAAUUAGACAUAUGAUUUUAGAUAUGUUAUAUCUAGUCGAUUUUGUUAUUUUUAUAGUCGCUUUUGUUAUCAUUUGGAUAUAUUAGAUUGCAUCUAUUUCUCUGAAUUCAACUAUAAUAUUUAUUUUAUUUUAAAUAUAUUAAAAUUAUUAUUAAUUUUCUUAUUUGCAUUUACUUUGGUUGUUCUCUUAGAUAUAUAAAUAUAUUUGAGGAAGAUUAUUUAUAACUUAAGAUAUAUUAUGCUUAAAAUGAAAUA